rnacentral:rRNA from 1 species
UGCCCGCGUGUGUGAAGAAGGUCUUCGGGUUGUAAAGCACUUUCAGCGAGGAGGAAGGGUUCAGUGUUAAUAGCACUGUUCAUUGACGUUACUCGCAGAAGAAGCACCGGCUAACUCCGUGCCAGCAGCCGCGGUAAUACGGAGGGUGCAAGCGUUAAUCGGAAUUACUGGGCGUAAAGCGCACGCAGGCGGUUUGUUAAGUCAGAUGUGAAAUCCCCGCGCUUAACGUGGGAACUGCAUUUGAAACUGGCAAGCUAGAGUCUUGUAGAGGGGGGUAGAAUUCCAGGUGUAGCGGUGAAAUGCGUAGAGAUCUGGAGGAAUACCGGUGGCGAAGGCGGCCCCCUGGACAAAGACUGACGCUCAGGUGCGAAAGCGUGGGGAGCAAACAGGAUUAGAUACCUGGUAGUCCA